rnacentral:rRNA from 1 species
AACGAACGCUGGCGGCAUGCCUAACACAUGCAAGUCGAACGAAACCUUCGUGUCUAUGUGCGCACGUGUGCGUAACGCCUGGGAAGCUACCCGUGGGUUCGGUAUACCUGCCCUUAGGGUGUGCUAAUACCACUUAGUCUCAUCGGGCCUAAGAUCUCUUGCCAUUGGGUGGGGGCGCGUUAGUUUAGGUAGUUGGUAGGGUAGAAGCCUACCAUGGGGACGAUGCUUAGCUGGUCGGAGAGGAUGAUAAGCCACACUGGGAAUGAGGCCCGGCCCAGACUCCGACGGGAGGGAGCAGUGGGGAGUAUUGGGGGAUGAGCGAUAGCCUGGUACAGCCAUGCGGCGUGAGUGAUGAAGGCCUUAGGGUUGUAAAGCCGUUUUACACGGGGUGAUAAUGACAGUAAUGGGAGAAUAAGCUCCGGCUAACUCCGUG